GACGAACGCUGGCGGCGUGCUUAACACAUGCAAGUCGAACGGAAAGGCCUGCUUUCCCUUGUGGAUUGCGGGUGCUCGAGUGGCGAACGGGUGAGUAACACGUGAGUGAUCUGCCCCCAACUUGGGUAUAAGCCUGGGAAACUGGGUCUAAUUCCCGAUAGGACUGCAGGGUGGUGCCUGUGGUGGAAAACGAUUUUCUAGUGGUUGGGGAUGAGCUCGCGGCCUAACAGCUUGUUGGUGGGGUAAUGGCCUACCAAGGCGGCGACGGGUAGCCGGCCUGAGAGGGUGGACGGCCACAUUGGGACUGAGAUACGGCCCAGACUCCUACGGGAGGCAGCAGUGGGGAAUAUUGCACAAUGGGCGGAAGCCUGAUGCAGCGACGCCGCGUGGGGGAUGACGGCCUUCGGGUUGUAAACUCCUUUCGACCGCGAGGAAGCCACCUGGUUGGAAGGGUGGUGACGGUAGUGGUAGAAGAAGCACCGGCUAACUACGUG
rnacentral:rRNA from 1 species